CGAUUGUUAUGCCUUGGUUAUGCCGUCCGUGAGACCGUGACAGCAACCAGCAGUUUCACCAGCUGUUUUGUUUCAACUUUUCGUGGCGGCGAUUAAGAAUGGGGGUCUUGGUCUUUAGAAAUUGAUAUUUCUUACAGCUGAUUCCCUGGUAUUCGAAGUAACUUUCCUCGUUAUUCACCGCAUUUGGGAAGUUUCUAAUAUGGUAUGUUGGCAAGGAUGUCAUUCUGUGGGAGCGAGUGAUGCUACUAGAAGCCUGACUUUUUUUUUUACAAAGAAGUGUAAAAAUUAGCAAGACGUCUUUGGCUCAAAAAGACAAUAAUAUUUAUACAAAACUUGGUGAACAUGGAUUGAUUGACAGUUAUCAGAUCUUUUGAAUGGCAAAAGCAGAACAGCUAACUAUCACAUGUCAGUGUAAGAUUUUCCAGCCAGAAUUUCCAGCAACUCAGCAUUUGAUUAACACAACUGUAAGCAAGGACUCGGCAAAUACAAUGACUAGCCCAUAUUCAAAUUGUAGCACAAUAUUUGUACAAUCGUGAUUUUUCCGAAAUACGUAAGGACGUUAGGUACGAAUGUACGAUGCCGAAACUUAUGUCACGAUAAAAGGUAUUGACUUACAAAUGAAGAGCGUAUUCGAGUCACCGAACAUUUGGGAUCGUUUCGUGAAUUCAUCCAUUUAAAGCGUGUUCUUACACAUUUUUUAUCCGGGACAAAUGUCACGCGUUGGCUGAAUUUCUUCCCCGCGGAUUAUGGCUUAUGUAAUUGAUCCAAAUCCACGUAAUGGGAAUUGAUGAUGGAAAUUUAUCAUUUGCAGCCUUUUGCUUUUUGCUAAUUCUGUCUUCUAUCAGAGUCAUAGAACGUGUUAUGACUCUGCUUCUAUCUAUCAAUCUAUGUAGGGAAAAGCAGAGUCAUAGACCCCUGGUUCGUCCACUAUGGCUAUUUUUCCUCUCAGAAAAGGAGUACUCUCUUGGGGGGAUUGCUAUACAAAAAAGCGGGGGUUUUGGGUCGGGGCGAAAGAUCCGCGCGGUGGGAGCGCCUGUUGUUGUUCACUCCACGCAGAAACUCAUUUGUCGACAGAUGGCAUUCCCACCGGGCGGAAAAUCACUCGUACAGCCCGACCGUGCCCCGACCGUCCCCGACCCAAAACCCUUGCUCCUAGACGGGAAGUGAACACAAAGCCUGGAAGUGUUGUAGAAUGUUGAGCACUCAUCUGUGGAGGAAAUCUAAUUGACAGGAUUCAAAUAUCGUGAGACUGAGAAAACACAGAAAAACUGUUGCAUAAAAGUUACUAAGGAUUUUCUGGCAGUAUUGAAAGUUUAAAACUGAAGUACCACAAAAUUAUUUUAUCCUUUUCUAUUAGUAAAUUGCAAUACAAAUUGAUUGCUCUUUUGGUUUUUGGCACCAAUUAAUCUUGUUCUUUAUGUUACAUUAGGUGGAACUGUGUUGCUGAUGAAACAUCCCUGACAAUUACUAAACUUUGUAGUUAAGACUGAUGAGAAUUUGAAGCAAAUCCAGAGUUAAUAAGAGCAGGUCUAUGUUUAACAUUGAAUAUUUGAAUGAAUUUAUGUAACCCUUUGUCUAUUUAGCUCAUGGAAUAGGGUCAGCCCACAACUUAACUUAAAUUAAUAAUUUAUUUAUUUAACUGAUAAUUAUUGUUUGAAGGAGACACUACACCAGGGACAACAGAAGUGUAGCCCUUCAAAGCAUUAUUUUAUAGAUAAUUCAACUUAUUGGGCAGGUUCACAAUUGUGUCACUGGAAAUGGGCAGCCGACAUUUCCCGUAUAUUUCCAAGACAUCUAGGGGAGAAAUAACUAACCCCGCAGAAUUUUUAUGGACGUCAGCUGCCCCGUCAGCUGCUCCAUUUCGCGUGGUUUCGGACUGAGGAUGGAUGCCAAAACGAACGUCUCUCUUCUCGAAAUUUUACCAUCGAUUCCCUGUGUUUUGAGCUGCAUCUUGUGAAUUCAAUUAAUGCAGAGUUGUUCAAGGUCUUUGGGAUGUUCCUGAUGUACUGUGGUGACCGCAAAUUCAUUGAAUGACUUGGUUCAAUCCACGACUUGGUUUUUUAAAUAGUGGUUUACAGUUUUAAUUUGCAGAGAUCCUGGAGGAACCUGAUAUGUUGCACUGGUGUUGGAGUCACUCGGUGACAGAAGAGAAUGGCACUUAAGUAAAGUUAUCAGUGUAAAUAAAACAUAUCCAGUAUUAUUCUUGUGUUUGUUGAAUUAUUACCUCAUUCAACGGAAACAAAGAAGUUAAAGAAGUGAUUGCAUUUGACAGUCAAAUGUACAAAGAAAACAAUUUAUUCGCUGGUGUUUCACCGACAAUGAAAUAUAUUGAAAUAAGUACAGUU
rnacentral:lncRNA from 1 species